AUUCCGGUUGAUCCUGCCGGAGGACAUUGCUAUUGGGAUUCGAUUUAGCCAUGCUAGUCGARCGAGUUAAGACUCGCGGCGAAUAGCUCAGUAACACGUGGCCAAGCUCCCCUUCAGUCAGCGAUACCCUCGGGAAACUGAGGUUAACAGCUGAUACAAAACGCAGCUGGAAUGCGGCGUUUCAGAAAGACAUCGCUGAAGGAUGCGGCUGCGGCCGAUUAGGUAGACGGUGGGGUAACGGCCCACCGUGCCAGUAAUCGGUACGGGUGAUGAGAGUCAGAGCCCGGAGACGGAAUCUGAGACAAGAUUCCGGGCCCUACGGGGCGCAGCAGGCGCGAAACCUUUACACUGCACGGAAGUGCGAUAGGGGAAUCCCAAGUGCGAGGGCAUAUUAGCCCUCGCUUUUCUCGACUGUAAGGUGGUCGACGAAUAAGAGCUGGGCAAGACCGGUGCCAGCCGCCGCGGUAAUACCGGCAGCUCAAGUGAUGUCCCAUAUUAUUGGGCCUAAAGCGUCCGUAGCU
rnacentral:rRNA from 1 species